rfam:Dipodomys ordii contig_26424, whole genome shotgun sequence.
GGGAAUGUGGCUCAGUGGUAGAGUGCUUGCCUAGCAUACAGGAAGCCCUGGGUUUGAUUCCUCAGUACCA